CAGUGUUGAGUCAAUUUCUGCUGUACAGCAUAGUGUCCCAGUCAUACAUACAUAUACAUUCUUUUUCUCAUAUUAUAUUCCAUUAUGGGGCAGCGCGGGGGUGGAGUUAGGUGGUUUUAGAGGGGCCCAGUGGUUCUGUGAGGCACUGCAGCUGGGGCCCAUGUUCAUGGGGACUUUGGGAUUCUCAGUGGCAAAUGCUGUGGGAGUCCGCAGCAGCAGUCAGGAGUUUCGGGAUCCUGGAUUGUGAAGGCUACUGGGGUUCUCCUGCUUUCUCUUUGAACAAAAGUUUAUUCAAGUCCACAGCCCAUUUGCCCAUUUUUUAUUUGGGUUGUUUGGGUUUUGUUCAUAUGUCGUUUUCAGUUUUCAUUGAAUUAUCUGUGCUCUUGUAGCUCUCUCAACUUCUUUAAAACAAUUGCUUCAAAAUCUUUGUCAAAGACAUCGAUUUCCAUUUUUCUUGUGUCAGUUACUGAGAAUGUAUUCUUUCUUUCAUGGUAUCAUGUUUACCUAAUUUUUUGUUUUCCUGUAGUCUUGUAUUGGUGUCUUCACAUUGGCAGUAGUCCCCUCUUCCAGGCUUUAUUUACAGGCUCCUGUAAGGACAGAUCUUCACUAGCGAGUGGGUGUGAGGGCACUAGUGUUACCACACCAGGUCCAUGUACCUAACCUACUGCAAGCCAGAUGUUGAGAUGCUGAGGUUUACAGCCAAGAAGGUUUAUUCGCAAAACAAGCAAGUGAGGAAAUUAGAAAGUCUCAGAUCUGCCUCCCCAAAGGUGAGGGGGUUGGGGUACUUAUGGGAUAAGCAGGAUGGUGGUAGGCAUGGGGAAAGGUGAUUGGAGACAGGUGAGAAGGUGAGGUAAUUGGUGUUCUGCGCAGGUGUAUCUAGGUUACCUGCUUCUGCAUAUUCAAAAUGAAGGUACUUCAAUUUGAUGGUGGAGUUUUCCCCGCCUCUGACCUCAAAAAGGUCGUACAUCCAGGCAUGCGCAGUUCCAGCUUCAGGGUUGGUAUUCCGAACCAGACCUCAGCCAGGUUGCACAGAGCAGGACCCGACUCCAUGUUCCUGUAAAACUGCUGGGGUGUGUGAAGCUGAAAACUAGUGAGAAAAGAGCCAGGAGAGAAAAGAUUUGGUGCUCUCACAUGAAAUCUUACUGGAGUGUUUGCCAAUGCCGACUCCAAAGGAUAGGCUGCCAUGAUGGAAACUUAAUAAGGGCUUUCUCCCCAACACUGAGCAGGUUAAAGUAGCUCUCUUGGAAGAGGUGAUGUUGAGGACGAUGCCAAAAAGUGGGAGGAAUUUCACCAAGCAAAAUCAGAAGCUGUAUCAUUCUACACAGCAAGGACAAAAUCUACAGAAGUGCAAAAAUGAGAAAGAAUAUUCCAGUUACAAGGGAUGUGCCUGGAGUACAGGGAGUUGGAGAGAGGUGGGAGGAUGGCUCAAACAUGAAAAAAAAAA